rnacentral:rRNA from 1 species
UGGCGCACGGGUGAGUAACGCGUAGGUAACCUGCCAUGAGGUUCGGGAUAGCCGUACGAAAGUAUGAUUAAUACCGGAUGUGCUCUUUUGAGUAAAGAUUUAUCGCCUUAUGAUGGGCCUGCGUUAGAUUAGCUUGUUGGUAAGGUAACGGCUUACCAAGGCAACGAUCUAUAGCCGGGUUGAGAGACCGACCGGCCACAUUGGAACUGAGACACGGUCCAGACUCCUACGGGAGGCAGCAGCUAAGAAUCUUCCGCAAUGGACGAAAGUCUGACGGAGCGACGCCGCGUGAAUGAUGAAGGCCUUAUGGGUUGUAAAAUUCUUUUAUAGAGGACGAAUGUAUGGUGUAGGCCAUGUUGACGGUACUCUAUGAAUAAGGUCCGGCUAACUACGUGCCAGCAGCCGCGGUAAUACGUAGGGACCGAGCGUUGUUCGGAAUUAUUGGGCGUAAAGGGUACGUAGGCGGUCUAAUAAGUCAGAUGUGAAAACCUCGGGCUCAACCUGAGGCCUGCGUCUGAUACUGUUAGGCUAGAGUUAUGGAGAGGAAGGCGGAAUUCCUGGUGUAGGGGUGAAAUCUAUAGAUAUCAGGAAGAACAUCGGUAGCGAAGGCUGCCUUCUGGACAUAAACUGACGCUGAUGUACGAAAGUUAGGGUAGCAAACAGGAUUAGAGACCCUGGUAGUCCUAACUGUAAACGUUGUAUACUAGGUGGUGGCAUUUUGAUCGUGUCACUGCCGUAGCUAACGCAUUAAGUAUACCGCCUGGGGAGUAUGCCGGCAACGGUGAAACUCAAAGGAAUUGACGGGGGCCCGCACAAGCAGUGGAGCAUGUCGUUUAAUUCGAUGAUACGCG